CAGUCACUGCUAAAAAAACAACAGCAACUCAAUCAUGGUGUCACAGAACUGGGCACUAAAAGAUCUAAUGUAUAACAUAAAUGGGGGGGGGGCAGUAAGCAACAUCUAAACUCAAAGCAGGAGUGGUACAGAAGCACCCUAUAUGUCAAAGUUCUAAGCAACAGAUGCAUGCAUAAGGAUCACUAACAGGAGGGUGAGUGGUCCCAAAAGGGCAGUAUCGCCACAAGUCUCACCUCAGUGUGGAUGGAGACUUCCCCAUAGAGGCAUUGAUUGAUAGAGUCCUCCUUUUAGUCAACCUUCUAUACUUGGUAUAUGUUAUGACUGUGAAGAGACACCAUGACCAAGGCAACUCUUA
rnacentral:lncRNA from 1 species